GAUACUGAACUUAUUCACUGCUAUUUUACUGGAAGCAUUUAAUGUUGACAACCUUGCGAAGGGAAAACGAGAAAAGGAGAAUUCUGAAAAGUUAAAAAGAGGAAUUGAUGUUAUUCGAAGCAAAAUUAAAAAGAAAUCACAAAAUGUGAACCCAGAACAAAGUAUAACUGAUGAUCAGAACAAACAAGAUGAUACUGACUCAAAUAAAACAGAAUCUAGCAGCACAAUCCAAACAGCUUCUUCCACCACAAAUGAACACUCG